GACGAACGCUGGCGGCGUGCCUAAUACAUGCAAGUAGGACGCAGUUGCGAACGGGUGAGUAACGCGUAGGUAACUGCCUAUUAGAGGGGGAUAACUAUUGGAAACGAUAGCUAAUACCGCAUACUAGUAGAUGGACCUGCGUUGUAUUAGCUAGUAGGUAGGGUAAUGGCCUACCUAGGCAACGAUACAUAGCCGACCUGAGAGGGUGAUCGUCCAAACUGGGACUGAGCAACGGCCCAGACUCCUACGGGAGGCAGCAGUAGGGAAUCUUCGGCAAGUGGGGGAACCCUGACCGAGCAACGCCGCGUGAGUGAAGAAGGUUUUCGGAUCUUAAAGCUCUGUUGUUAAGGAAGCGGUACUUAACCAGAAAGGGACGGCUAACUACGUGCCAGUAGCCGCGGUAAUUC
rnacentral:rRNA from 1 species